UUUAGUACUGAAACAUUGGAAAAUUUCGUGUUUCAGUGGAAAAGAAUACCGGGACAGAACCCGAGGAGUCGAGUCAAGGCCAACAGGCGACUCGUUUGAGAUACAGAGACUAGAGGAGCAGCAGACUGAGCUGCUGAAGUGUGUGAAGUCAUCAGCUUGAAGCCUUCGGGUAUAAUUUAUACCCUAACUGUAAAUACUUCUUUUGAUGUAUAUAUUGCACAUAAAUGUAUGGACAUGUAAAAAUGGGUCUUGAGCAGCUUGUACACAAAUUUGUAUGAAGUUUGUAAUAAAGUUUAGUUUAUGUUUC